GAUGAACGCUAGCGGCAGGCCUAACACAUGCAAGUCGAGGGGUAGAGGAAGCUUGCUUCCUUGAGACCGGCGCACGGGUGCGUAACGCGUAUGCAAUCUACCUUUUACAGAGGGAUAGCCCAGAGAAAUUUGGAUUAAUACCUCAUAGUAUUUUCGAAUGGCAUCAUUUGAUUAUUAAAGUUCCAACGGUAAAAGAUGAGCAUGCGUCCUAUUAGCUAGAUGGUAAGGUAACGGCUUACCAUGGCAACGAUAGGUAGGGGUCCUGAGAGGGAGAUCACCCACACUGGUACUGAGACACGGACCAGACUCCUACGGGAGGCAGCAGUGAGGAAUAUUGGACAAUGGGCGCAAGCCUGAUCCAGCCAUGCCGCGUGCAGGGAGACGCAUCUAUGGUGUGUAAACUGCUUUUGUACGGGAAGAAACACUCCCUCGUGAGGGAGCUUGACGGUACCGUAAGAAUAAGGAUCGGCUAACUCCGUGCCAGCCGCCGCGGUAAUAC
rnacentral:rRNA from 1 species